rnacentral:rRNA from 1 species
GACGAACGCUGGCGGCGUGCUUAACACAUGCAAGUCGAGCGGAAGGGCCUGGUUUUGUUGGGGUCUAAGAGUGGGAACGGGGUACGUAACCGGUGCGUACCUUCCCCUUGCCUUUGGGUUAACUCUAGGAAACUGGGGCGAAUACUGAUACGCCAUACCUUCUGCAUGGGGGGGGUUGAAAAUUUUCGGCGGUUGGGGAUGGACUCGCGGCUUAUAAGCUUGUUGGUGGGGUAGUGGUUUACCAUGGCUUUGACGGGUAGCCGGCCUGAGAGGGUGACCGGCCACAUUGGGACUGAGAUACGGCCCAGACUCCUACGGGAGGCAGCAGUGGGGAAUAUUGCACAAUGGGCGGAAGCCUGAUGCAGCAACGCCGCGUGCGGGAUGACGGCCUUCGGGUUGUAAACCGCUUUCGCCUGUGACGAAGCGUGAGUGACGGUAAUGGGUAAAGAAGCACCGGCUAACUACGUG